GGGCGCUAGAUGUAGGGACCUUUCCACGGUUUCUGUGUCGUAGCUAACGCAUUAAGCGCCCCGCCUGGGGAGUACGGCCGCAAGGCUAAAACUCAAAGGAAUUGACGGGGGCCCGCACAAGCGGCGGAGCAUGCGGAUUAAUUCGAUGCAACGCGAAGAACCUUACCCAAGGCUUGACAUACACCGGAAACGGCCAGAGAUGGUCGCCCCCUUGUGGUCGGUGUAACAGGUGGUGCAUGGUUGUCGUCAGCUCGUGUCGUGAGAUGUUGGGUUAAGUCCCGCAACGAGCGCAACCCUCGUUCUAUGUUGCCAGCGGGUUAUGCCCGGGGACUCAUAGGAGACUGCCCGGGGUCAACUCGGAGGAAGGUGGGGAUGACGUCAAAUCAUCAUGCCCCUUAUGUCUUGGGCUUCACGCAUGCUACAAUGGCCGGUACAAAGGGCUGCGAUACCGUAAGGUGGAGCGAAUCCCAAAAAGCCGGUCUCAGUUCGGAUUGAGGUCUGCAACUCGACCUCAUGAAGUCGGAGUCGCUAGUAAUCGCAGAUCAGCAACGCUGCGGUGAAUACGUUCCCGGGCCUUGUACACACCGCCCGUCAAGUCAUGAAAGUCGGUAACACCCGAAGCCGGUGGCCUAACCCUUGUGGAAGGAGCCGUCGAAGGUGGGAUCGGUGAUUAGGACUAAGUCGUAANAAGGUACC
rnacentral:rRNA from 1 species